GUGUAAGUAUACAUAUUUAACUUUGAAACUGCGAAUGGCUCAUUAUAUCAGUUAUAGUUUAUUUGAUGAAAAGUACUACUUGGAUAACCGUAGUAAUUCUAGAGCUAAUACAUGAUAAAAUCCUCGACUUUGAAGAGGUGUAUUUAUUAGAAUGAAACCAAUAGACUUCGGUCUGUUUGUGAGUAAUAAUAACUAAUCGUAUCGCAUGCUUAGGUAGCGAUAUGUCUUUCAAGUUUCUGCCCUAUCAGCUUUGGAUGGUAGUGUAUUGGACUACCAUGGCAGUAACGGGUAACGAAGAAUUUGGGUUCGAUUUCGGAGAGGGAGCCUGAGAGAUGGCUACCACAUCCAAGGAAGGCAGCAGGCGCGUAAAUUACCCAAUCCUGACAUAGGGAGGUAGUGACAAUAAAUCACAAUGCGGAACUAUUAGUUUUGCAAUUGGAUUGAGAACAAUGUACAAAUGUUAUCGAUAAACAAUUGGAGGGCAAGUCUGGUGCCAGCAGCCGCGGUAAUUCCAGCUCCAAUAGCGUAUAUUAACGUUGUUGCAGUUAAAAAGCU
rnacentral:rRNA from 1 species